rnacentral:rRNA from 1 species
AUUGAACGCUGGCGGCAUGCUUUACACAUGCAAGUCGAACGGUAACAGGCCUUCGGGUGCUGACGAGUGGCGAACGGGUGAGUAAUGCAUCGGAACGUGCCCAGAGGUGGGGGAUAACGCAGCGAAAGCUGUGCUAAUGCCGCAUGUGAUCUGAGGAUGAAAGCGGGGGACCAAGCAGCAAUGUUUGGCCUCGCGCCUCUGGAGCGGCCGAUGUCAGAUUAGGUAGUUGGUGGGGUAAAGGCCUACCAAGCCGACGAUCUGUAGCUGGUCUGAGAGGACGACCAGCCACACUGGGACUGAGACACGGCCCAGACUCCUACGGGAGGCAGCAGUGGGGAAUUUUGGACAAUGGGCGCAAGCCUGAUCCAGCAAUGCCGCGUGCGGGAAGAAGGCCUUCGGGUUGUAAACCGCUUUUGUACGGAACGAAAAGGCUCUGGCUAAUACCUGGGGCUGAUGACGGUACCGUAAGAAUAAGCACCGGCUAACUACGUG